GGGUUGUGAGGUUAAGCGACUAAGCGUACACGGUGGAUGCCCUGGCAGUCAGAGGCGAUGAAGGACGUGCUAAUCUGCGAUAAGCGUCGGUAAGGUGAUAUGAACCGUUAUAACCGGCGAUUUCCGAAUGGGGAAACCCAGUGUGAUUCGUCACACUAUCAUUAACUAAAUCCAUAGGUUAAUGAGGCGAACCGGGGGAACUGAAACAUCUAAGUACCCCGAGGAAAAGAAAUCAACCGAGAUUCCCCCAGUAGCGGCGAGCGAACGGGGAGCAGCCCAGAGCCUGAAUCAGUGUGUGUGUUAGUGGAAGCGUCUGGAAAGGCGCGCGAUACAGGGUGACAGCCCCGUACACAAAAAUGCACAUACUGUGAGCUCGAUGAGUAGGGCGGGACACGUGGUAUCCUGUCUGAAUAUGGGGGGACCAUCCUCCAAGGCUAAAUACUCCUGACUGACCGAUAGUGAACCAGUACCGUGAGGGAAAGGCGAAAAGAACCCCGGCGAGGGGAGUGAAAAAGAACCUGAAACCGUGUACGUACAAGCAGUGGGAGCACAGAGCAAUCUGUGUGACUGCGUACCUUUUGUAUAAUGGGUCAGCGACUUAUAUUCUGUAGCAAGGUUAACCGAAUAGGGGAGCCGAAGGGAAACCGAGUCUUAACUGGGCGUUAAGUUGCAGGGUAUAGACCCGAAACCCGGUGAUCUAGCCAUGGGCAGGUUGAAGGUUGGGUAACACUAACUGGAGGACCGAACCGACUAAUGUUGAAAAAUUAGCGGAUGACUUGUGGCUGGGGGUGAAAGGCCAAUCAAACCGGGAGAUAGCUGGUUCUCCCCGAAAGCUAUUUAGGUAGCGCCUCGUGAAUUCAUCUCCGGGGGUAGAGCACUGUUUCGGCAAGGGGGUCAUCCCGACUUACCAACCCGAUGCAAACUGCGAAUACCGGAGAAUGUUAUCACGGGAGACACACGGCGGGUGCUAACGUCCGUCGUGAAGAGGGAAACAACCCAGACCGCCAGCUAAGGUCCCAAAGUCAUGGUUAAGUGGGAAACGAUGUGGGAAGGCCCAGACAGCCAGGAUGUUGGCUUAGAAGCAGCCAUCAUUUAAAGAAAGCGUAAUAGCUCACUGGUCGAGUCGGCCUGCGCGGAAGAUGUAACGGGGCUAAACCAUGCACCGAAGCUGCGGCAGCGACGCUUAUGCGUUGUUGGGUAGGGGAGCGUUCUGUAAGCCUGUGAAGGUGUACUGUGAGGUAUGCUGGAGGUAUCAGAAGUGCGAAUGCUGACAUAAGUAACGAUAAAGCGGGUGAAAAGCCCGCUCGCCGGAAGACCAAGGGUUCCUGUCCAACGUUAAUCGGGGCAGGGUGAGUCGACCCCUAAGGCGAGGCCGAAAGGCGUAGUCGAUGGGAAACAGGUUAAUAUUCCUGUACUUGGUGUUACUGCGAAGGGGGGACGGAGAAGGCUAUGUUGGCCGGGCGACGGUUGUCCCGGUUUAAGCGUGUAGGCUGGUUUUCCAGGCAAAUCCGGAAAAUCAAGGCUGAGGCGUGAUGACGAGGCACUACGGUGCUGAAGCAACAAAUGCCCUGCUUCCAGGAAAAGCCUCUAAGCAUCAGGUAACAUCAAAUCGUACCCCAAACCGACACAGGUGGUCAGGUAGAGAAUACCAAGGCGCUUGAGAGAACUCGGGUGAAGGAACUAGGCAAAAUGGUGCCGUAACUUCGGGAGAAGGCACGCUGAUAUGUAGGUGAAGCGACUUGCUCGUGGAGCUGAAAUCAGUCGAAGAUACCAGCUGGCUGCAACUGUUUAUUAAAAACACAGCACUGUGCAAACACGAAAGUGGACGUAUACGGUGUGACGCCUGCCCGGUGCCGGAAGGUUAAUUGAUGGGGUCAGCGCAAGCGAAGCUCUUGAUCGAAGCCCCGGUAAACGGCGGCCGUAACUAUAACGGUCCUAAGGUAGCGAAAUUCCUUGUCGGGUAAGUUCCGACCUGCACGAAUGGCGUAAUGAUGGCCAGGCUGUCUCCACCCGAGACUCAGUGAAAUUGAACUCGCUGUGAAGAUGCAGUGUACCCGCGGCAAGACGGAAAGACCCCGUGAACCUUUACUAUAGCUUGACACUGAACAUUGAGCCUUGAUGUGUAGGAUAGGUGGGAGGCUUUGAAGUGUGGACGCCAGUCUGCAUGGAGCCGACCUUGAAAUACCACCCUUUAAUGUUUGAUGUUCUAACGUGGACCCGUAAUCCGGGUUGCGGACAGUGUCUGGUGGGUAGUUUGACUGGGGCGGUCUCCUCCUAAAGAGUAACGGAGGAGCACGAAGGUUGGCUAAUCCUGGUCGGACAUCAGGAGGUUAGUGCAAUGGCAUAAGCCAGCUUGACUGCGAGCGUGACGGCGCGAGCAGGUGCGAAAGCAGGUCAUAGUGAUCCGGUGGUUCUGAAUGGAAGGGCCAUCGCUCAACGGAUAAAAGGUACUCCGGGGAUAACAGGCUGAUACCGCCCAAGAGUUCAUAUCGACGGCGGUGUUUGGCACCUCGAUGUCGGCUCAUCACAUCCUGGGGCUGAAGUAGGUCCCAAGGGUAUGGCUGUUCGCCAUUUAAAGUGGUACGCGAGCUGGGUUUAGAACGUCGUGAGACAGUUCGGUCCCUAUCUGCCGUGGGCGCUGGAGAACUGAGGGGGGCUGCUCCUAGUACGAGAGGACCGGAGUGGACGCAUCACUGGUGUUCGGGUUGUCAUGCCAAUGGCACUGCCCGGUAGCUAAAUGCGGAAGAGAUAAGUGCUGAAAGCAUCUAAGCACGAAACUUGCCCCGAGAUGAGUUCUCCCUGACUCCUUGAGAGUCCUGAAGGAACGUUGAAGACGACGACGUUGAUAGGCCGGGUGUGUAAGCGCAGCGAUGCGUUGAGCUAACCGGUACUAAUGAACCGUGAGGCUUAACCUUACAACGCCGAAGGUGUUU
rnacentral:rRNA from 1 species